rnacentral:lncRNA from 1 species
GCUAACCUGCCCGUCUCCGCAGGGUCCUCCCUGGAGCUUCUGGGAAUGCCUCUUAGAGACGGCUGCCGGGAAACCAAAAUAUUUCCCAAAUAUACCCACAGCUAGGAAUAGGACAUAGCAUUUCCUUUCUAAUGCCCCAUUGCCCAUGCUUUUCAAACAUCAUAACCUUAUCUGUGAGUGGAGGGCUUAGAAGUCACUUUUCUGUAUUAUUUUUGAACCACGAUGUGUUACCCUCAGAGUUGAAUGCAUGUCUUGCCUGUGUGAAAUGAACAGGACAUUGUGUUUUGUACAGAUGUUACAAAUCACGUGGCGUAUAUAUAUAUUACAAGACCAAGAGGCCACUGCCUGAGCAGGGUCUCUGAUGUUUUCUAGAGGUGGGAUGUUUUCUAGGUAUGGGAGCCUCCUGAAAGGGUUAGGCUGUGUAUCUGUAGCGCCACCUUCUGCAUACUGAAGGAAAUGUCAUGAUUAGAGUAAAUUCCCUCAGUGAAGAGUCCUGUUUAUCCUAUGAUUGAAUCAGCU